AACAGGAAGAAGCUUGCUUCUUUGCUGACGAGUGGCGGACGGGGUGAGUAAUGUCUGGGAAACUGCCUGAUGGAGGGGGAUAACUACUGGAAACGGUAGCUAAUACCGCAUAACGUCGCAAGACCAAAGAGGGGGACCUUCGGGCCUCUUGCCAUCGGAUGUGCCCAGAUGGGAUUAGCUAGUAGGUGGGGUAACGGCUCACCUAGGCGACGAUCCCUAGCUGGUCUGAGAGGAUGACCAGCCACACUGGAACUGAGACACGGUCCAGACUCCUACGGGAGGCAGCAGUGGGGAAUAUUGCACAAUGGGCGCAAGCCUGAUGCAGCCAUGCCGCGUGUAUGAAGAAGGCCUUCGGGUUGUAAAGUACUUUCAGCGGGGAGGAAGGGAGUAAAGUUAAUACCUUUGCUCAUUGACGUUACCCGCAGAAGAAGCACCGGCUAACUCCGUGCCAGCAGCCGCGGUAAUACCGGAGGGUGCAAGCGUUAAUCGGGAAUUACUGGGCGUAAAGCGCACGCAGGCGGUUUGUUAAGUCAGAUGUGAAAUCCCCGGGCUCAACCUGGGAACUGCAUCUGAUACUGGCAAGCUUGAGUCUCGUAGAGGGGGGUAGAAUUCCAGGUGUAGCGGUGAAAUGCGUAGAGAUCUGGAGGAAUACCGGUGGCGAAGGCGGCCCCCUGGACGAAGACUGA
rnacentral:rRNA from 1 species